rnacentral:rRNA from 1 species
UUUUAUGGAGAGUUUGAUCCUGGCUCAGGAUGAACGCUGGCGGCGUGCCUAAUACAUGCAAGUCGAGCGAACGGACGAGAAGCUUGCUUCUCUGAUGUUAGCGGCGGACGGGUGAGUAACACGUGGAUAACCUACCUAUAAGACUGGGAUAACUUCGGGAAACCGGAGCUAAUACCGGAUAAUAUUUUGAACCGCAUGGUUCAAAAGUGAAAGACGGUCUUGCUGUCACUUAUAGAUGGAUCCGCGCUGCAUUAGCUAGUUGGUAAGGUAACGGC